AGGUUUUAUAGUCAAUUAUGAUUUUAAAUUGCAAAUUUAAAGGUGAAAUUUCUAAAGCCUU
rnacentral:tRNA from 1 species